rnacentral:rRNA from 1 species
CGGGACGGGUGAGUAAUGUCUGGGAAACUGCCUGAUGGAGGGGGAUAACUACUGGAAACGGUAGCUAAUACCGCAUAACGUCGCAAGACCAAAGAGGGGGACCUUCGGGCCUCUUGUCAUCGGAUGUGCCCAGAUGGGAUUAGCUAGUAGGUGGGGUAACGGCUCACCUAGGCGACGAUCCCUAGCUGGUCUGAGAGGAUGACCAGCCACACUGGAACUGAGACACGGUCCAG